CCUACGGGAGGCAGCAGUGGGGGAUAUUGCACAAUGGGGGAAACCCUGAUGCAGCGACGCCGCGUGAGUGAAGAAGUAUUUCGGUAUGUAAAGCUCUAUCAGCAUGGAAGAAAAUGACAGUACCUGACCAAGAAGCCCCGGCUAACUACGUGCCAGCAGCCGCGGUAAUACGUAGGGGGCAAGCGGUAUCCGGCUUUACUGGGUGUAAAGGGAGCGUAGACGGUUAUGCAAGUCUGAAGUGAAAGCCCAAGGCUCAACCAUGGGACUGCUUUGGAAACUGUAAAACUGGAGUGCAGGAGAGGUAAGGGGAAUUCCUAGUGUUGCGGUUAAAUGCGGAGAUAGUAGGAGG
rnacentral:rRNA from 1 species